rnacentral:tRNA from 1 species
AGCCCAGUAGUGUAGUGGCCAAGCAUAUGAGGCUCUGAACCUCGUGACGGCGGUUCGAAUCCGCCCUGGGCUA